AAGCCUAUACUGGCAGUCGAACGAGAGACCUCCGGGUCUCUAGUGGCGAACGGGUGAGUAACACGUAGGGAACCUGCCCGCGCACCGGGAAUACGCUCUGGAAACGGAGAACAAAUCCCGACGUACAGGAAGGAGGCAUCUUCUUUCUGUGAAACAUCCUUUAGGGGAUGGGGCGCGGAAGGACCUGCGGUGCAUUAGUUGGUUGGCGGGGUAAAGGCCCACCAAGACGAUGAUGCAUAGCCGGCCUGAGAGGGCGGACGGCCACAUUGGGACUGAGACACGGCCCAGACUCCUGCGGGAGGCAGCAGUAGGGAAUUUUCGUCAAUGGGCGCAAGCCUGAACGAGCGAUGCCGCGUGAGUGAAGAAGGCCUUCGGGUCGUAAAGCUCUGUUGCGGGGGAAAAAAGGCAGCAUCAGGAAAUGGGUGCUGACUGAUGGUGCCCCGCCAGAAAGUCACGGCUAACUACGUGCCAGCAGCCGCGGUAAUACGUAGGUGGCGAGCGUUAUCCGGAAUGAUUGGGCGUAAAGGGUGCGCAGGCGGUCCUGCAAGUCUGGAGUGAAACGCAUGAGCUCAACUCAUGCAUGGCUUUGGAAACUGGAGGACUGGAGAGCAGGAGAGGGCGGUGGAACUCCAUGUGUAGCGGUAAAAUGCGUAGAUAUAUGGAAGAACACCAGUGGCGAAGGCGGCCGCCUGGCCUGUUGCUGACGCUGAGGCACGAAAGCGUGGGGAGCAAAUAGGAUUAGAUACCCUA
rnacentral:rRNA from 1 species